AGUGAACGCUGGCGGUAGGCCUAACACAUGCAAGUCGAACGGCAGCACAGUAAUAGCUUGCUCGUACGGGUGGCGAGUGGCGGACGGGGGAGGAAUACAUCGGAAUCUACUUUUUCGUGGGUGAUAACGUAGGGAAACUUACGCUAAUACCGCAUACGACCUACGGGUGAAAGCAGGGGAUCUUCGGAACUUGCGCGAUUGAAUGAGCCGAUGUCGGAUUAGCUAGUGGGCGGGGUAAAGGCCCACCAAGGCGACGAUCCGUAGCUGGUCUGAGAGGGUGAUCGGCCACACUGGAACUGAGACACGGUCCAGACUCCUACGGGAGGCAGCAGUGGGGAAUAUUGGACAAUGGGAGCAAGCCUGAUCCAGCCAUACCGCGUGGGUGAAGAAGGCCUUCGGGUUGUAAAGCCCUUUUGUUGGGAAAGAAAAGCAGCAGGUUAAUACCCCGCUGUUCUGACGGUACCCAAAGAAUAAGCACCGGCUAACUUCGUG
rnacentral:rRNA from 1 species